rnacentral:tRNA from 1 species
UCCCUAGUGGUCCAGUGGUUAGGACUCAGCACUUUCACUGCUGAGGGCCCACGUUCAAUCCCUAGUUAGGGUA